GAGGAAUAUUGGUCAAUGGGCGAGAGCCUGAACCAGCCAAGUAGCGUGCAGGAUGACGGCCCUAUGGGUUGUAAACUGCUUUUGUAUGGGGAUAAAGUCAGUCACGUGUGAUUGUUUGCAGGUACCAUACGAAUAAGGACCGGCUAGUUCCGUGCCAGCAGCCGCGGUAAUGCGGAAGGUCCGGGCGUUAUCCGGAUUUAUUGGGUUUAAAGGGAGCGUAGGCUGGAGAUUAAGUGUGUUGUGAAAUGUAGACGCUCAACGUCUGACUUGCAGCGCAUACUGGUUUCCUUGAGUACGCACAACGUUGGCGGAAUUCGUCGUGUAGCGGUGAAAUGCUUAGAUAUGACGAAGAACUCCGAUUGCGAAGGCAGCUGACGGGAGCGCAACUGACGCUGAAGCUCGAAGGUGCGGGUAUCGAACAGGAUUAGAUACCCUGGUAGUCCGCACAGUAAACGAUGGAUGCCCGCUGUUGGUACCUGGUAUCAGCGGCUAAGCGAAAGCAUUAAGCAUCCCACCUGGGGAGUACGCCGGCAACGGUG
rnacentral:rRNA from 1 species